CAAUAAGUGUUUUAUGGCACUUUUUCAAUCCAUAUCCACCUUGUGUGCAAUGUUGUCUUGUAACGCGAAUGCUUGUCAUUUGCGCUACAGGAUGUAAACAUCAACUCUUAUCUUUAACAACAUUCGUCUGAAAAACUAUUAUGAAUACUUAAUUCAAAAUA
rnacentral:misc_RNA from 1 species